CUUUUUUUAGCUCUCCCUUGCCUCUGCUGCUUGACCCGACUGCGCAUCUCACCUCAGUGAUCUGCAGAUCCUUCCACCCUGCUAGUCACAGAACUGGGCUGAACCUGCCCUUAAACCACUGACACUCUUGUUGGAUGCCGAGGGCAACUUGGUGACCAAGGAUCAGGAUAUGGCUGAGGUGACCUGCCUAGUGGAUGAAGGUAAGGCUGCCGAUGUGGUCUACCUCGACUUCAGUAAAGCCUUUGACACUGUCCCCCACGACAACCUUGUGGAGAUGCUGGCUGCUCAUGGUUUGGAUGGGCAUACGCUCCAUUGGGUGAAACGGUGAAACACUGGCUAGAUGGCUGGGCCCAAAGAGCUGUGGACAAUGCAGUUAAAUCCGGUUGGCAGCUUGUCAUGAGCAGUGUCCCCCAGGGUUUGGUACUGGGGCUGCUUCUAUGUAACAUCUUUAUUAACGAUUUUGACAAG
rnacentral:lncRNA from 1 species